GAUGAACGCUGGCGGCGUGCCUAAUACAUGCAAGUCGAGCGAACGGACGAGAAGCUUGCUUCUCUGAUGUUAGCGGCGGACGGGUGAGUAACACGUGGAUAACCUACCUAUAAGACUGGGAUAACUUCGGGAAACCGGAGCUAAUACCGGAUGAUAUUUUGAACCGCAUGGUUCAAAAGUGAAAGACGGUCUUGCUGUCACUUAUAGAUGGAUCCGCGCUGCAUUAGCUAGUUGGUAAGGUAACGGCUUACCAAGGCAACGAUGCAUAGCCGACCUGAGAGGGUGAUCGGCCACACUGGAACUGAGACACGGUCCAGGCUCCUACGGGAGGCAGCAGUAGGGAAUCUUCCGCAAUGGGCGAAAGCCUGACGGAGCAACGCCGCGUGAGUGAUGAAGGUCUUCGGAUCGUAAAACUCUGUUAUUAGGGAAGAACAUAUGUGUAAGUAACUGUGCACAUCUUGACGGUACCUAAUCAGAAAGCCACGGCUAACUACGUG
rnacentral:rRNA from 1 species